AAUGCCCCCAGGGAUGGGGCAUCCACAGUCUCCUUGGGCAACCUAUUCCAGUGCAUCACCACCCUCUGUGUGAAAAACUUCCUCCUAAUCCUAGGCUGCCUCUCUCUUCUCUUGCAGGCCAAAGCUUUCCGGUCACUUCUGCUCCAGCCAGCUGAGCUGUCUAACAGGGCUCUUCAGCACUCGUCACUGAUUCAUGCCAGUGCUUGCAGAUGUGUCAGCUUCCAUGUGGUGAAUGUGAGCUGUGUCCAUACUGUCCCACAGUCAGGAUGGUGCUUUGUGUUGUGCAGUGGUGGCCUUUUGCCUGGUCCCUGAACUAUGAGCCAGAGCUGCAUCUGCUGCCAGAGGUGCUGGAUGGUAUGGAGGAGCUUGGGAAGGCAGCCCCCAAGCUUCCUGCUGUCAUCAUUCCUUGUGCUUUAUCCUAAAUAGGGCAUUUGAAAGGUACAGCCCAAUGAAGUGUGGUUUAGAGAUCUUCACAUAUCAGGGCGGAACCACGGUGAGGAGUCUGGAGGCUUUCCAUGCUAUUCACUACUGAGAAACUAGGCCUGUCCAAUGUUCCUGCUGGUUUGACAUUAAGGAAAUAACCCACCUGAACAAGGGUGAGGGAAGGGACCGUCCCCUCCGCUCUGUGUUGUGGCCUGGUGGUGAGAACUGGGUGCAAUUUGGGUUCUGCUGUGUCAGAAGGACAUGGAACUGUUAUGGAGCAUCCAAAGGAGGGCUGCAGAGAUGGGGAAGGGUCUGCAGGGCAAGGGGUAUCAGGAGAGCUGAGGGCCCUGGGCUUGUUGGGCCCAGAGCAGAGGAGGAUGAGGGGAGGGCUCAUGGCAGCUGUAACUCCUCAGCCCCUCACAGGCCUACAGCCCAUCAUGGACCUACAGCUCCUCAUCACCCUACAGCUCUUCACGGCCCUACAGCUCCUCAUGGUCAUACAGCUCCUCACAGCCUUACAGACCCUCACAGGGGACAGAGGGGUGAGGGAAAGGCUCCAUCCCAGAGGGUGGUGGACAUAGACUAGGACUGGAAUGUCUUUAGUGGGAAUCUUCAAAAGCUGUGUUAGCUCUGACUGCAGUGCAGAUAAUGAUGAGUUGCUCUUUGAAGCUGGAAUCUGCAUGCCCAGCAUGUCAAGACUUAAUAGCACAGAGGAUCCUUACUUUGGGAUCAAGAGCUCUUCUGCGUCUGUUGAUUUGUAUGCCAGGUGGGAAGCUGUAUCCCUCUUAGACUGGAAAUUAUGAAGACUACAGCAAUCCUGCUGAGGAGCUUGUACGAGUCCAAGAAUUUGAAGAGGGGCAGACUACUAUGUAUGUCAUACAUGUCUGGUCAGGCUGUUUAGCCUGAAGAAGAAGAGGCUCAAGGAAGAUGUUAUAGCUCUCUACAACUCCCUUAAAGGAGGUUUGAGCAAGGUGAGGUUUGGCCACUUCUGCGUAACGAUCAAUAUGACCAGAGGGAAUGGACACAAGUUGUACCAGGGGAGCUUCAGGUUGGAUAUUGGGAAAAAUUUCUUCUCUUUAAGAGUAGUCAGGUGCUGGAAUGGACUGCCCAGGGAGGUGGAAUCACUGUCCUGGAGGUGCUCAAGAAAUGUGUAGAUGCUGUACUAAGGGACAUGGCUUAGUGGGGAAAUACUGGUAGUAGGUGGAUAACUGGACACCAACUCCACUUGCUGAGAUUCACAGAUUAGGGUCUUUCUUUGCAAAGGAAGUACAUCCAUUUUCACCAGUGAGGAACUGAUGUGAUUUCCAUCCAGCUACUCUGACACUCCACCAUGACUUUGGUGGAUGAAGUUUUUAGCUCAGGAUCUGUCCUUUUGUCCUUUGCAACUCACCACCACGUAAUUCACCAAUUACAGACUGCAUAGUGCAGACCAACAUUGUGCCCACAUGGACUUCCAGCAUCAAGUUACGUUUGCUGUUUUUGGUUUGAUGAACUCCAUGCUAAGUAGAGGCAACACUGCAAAUAUUUUACUGCAGAGAAGCGAAGAUGUUAAUAAUGUCACUGUAUGUUCACCAAAUGCUUUAAUUUUGGUUUUGGAGAACACAAAGGUCAUGAAGACUUGAUGCACAUGGAAGAGGACAGGCAUGGUAUCCGUAUGAAGUUAAUAAGAUGUUUGUGAUUCUUUAUCCCAGUGUUUUUUUUUCUGUAAGGGUGAAAUGAUUUUUCUACUAGUCAGAUAUUGGUAGCUUUUGCAAAAAUUCUCAUAAAUCUUUCAUGCUAGUAAAGAGCUCAAGUCAAGCAUCCUUAAAGAAGCUGAGCUGCAAGUAACUGUGUUGGGUUCUUCUUUAAUGUGAAAUUCUCCAUUCGUUCUCCAACUGAGCUGCAGGCAAAACCACAAUGCUUUGGUUAUUCUGAGCAUCUGUGCAUUUGACCCAAUUACUGUACGGUAUCUGUCAGUUGAGAGCAGCAUAUAAUACAGAAAUGUCUGAUGCUGGAAGCAUAUAUUACUAUAAUUACUAUUUCCUUUGUAACUGAUUUUGGAAGGAGAUGAAGAGGAGGUGGGAAGAGGGGGAUGUGUUGAAAAAAGUAGUUCAGGAGCUUGCAGUAGUUUCCUUUCCAAGUGUGACUACGGUCAUUCCUGCAGUUUAAUGCUGAACUGAAAAAGAAUAUCUAUUUAUGUACCUCCCAUACAUUUAUGUAACCACAUAUGUGCUUAUAAAAAGAAAGAAAUAUAUCUGGAAAAUCUGUAAAGUUUGGAUUGACAGCAUAUAAUUAAAGAAACAAUCAAUCCAUAGCAUAAUAAGCUAAGUUGCUCUUACUGCCAGUGAAGAGAGCUAUUUAACUUUUUCUGAACCAGAAGAAUAGCAGCGGUAGAAAUCUGCACUAUGCAGCUGAUUUGUGCAGUAGUGCACCAGGGAAUUGCUUUUAAAGUUUUGCUUGAGAAAACAAUUCUGGGAAGAGCCAACAUGCAGAAGUUCCUGUAAUUUCAGUGGCAAUGCCAUGCAGAGCUGCUUUGGUACCUUAGAGGAUAUGGAGCACAGUUCAUGUGCUAUGUAUUUAAACCCACAUGAGCAAGGGUGUGUGGUGAAUACAGGGUAUGCACUGUGAGGUGGCAUUUGCACACCUUCUGUGUGAGCAGCUCUGCAAACAGAAGGGGUAAUGGAUUGCAUAGCAGCCCCCAUGGCUCUAUGCUGCAGGAAUGAUUUGCAGCAUGCCCUGGAAGAUCCAGAUCUGAUGGGCCAAGUGCUGCAUGGUAACAAAUCCAGCAUGCCCAGGGUAUGCUGGAUUACCACUGCACACAGUACAGACACAGUGUAUGUGUACUGUGUGACCAUUUAUCCAGGAUUUCUCCAGGGUUUCUGGAAGGCCCUCAGGAGAACGAUGGCCAUUUGGCUGAGCUCUGUCAUGUAAUCAUCCUAAGCACCACUGGAGUCUUGGAUUGACUCUAGUGACAUGGAUUCUUGGAUGCUGUUACAUUUACUCUAGUUUUGAACUCCUCUAUGCUAGAUAGAGACAACAUUGCAAACACAGUGGGAAUGUCAAGAUUUUAGUGUUGCCACCAUACACUGCUCUGAAGUAUAGCCAUGCUCAGGUUGCAGUUCUGGAGCAAACAUCUUGUUCAUUCAGGAAAGCUGUUCUGCAGUUCUUGAUGCUGUAAGGUUUGUAAAUGGUGUCUUCUCUCAAAACCCUGAGAGGAUGUGGGGUGAUGUUGACAGAGAGCUGCUACGUAAGUAGAAUUCUGUAUUAUUUUAUACAGUUACGAAAUCUAAUUUCCCCUUUUUGAUUUCUGCUAUUUAUACGGAAAGGUGACAAAUUUUGCUCUAAGUGCUAGAAACUUUUAUUCUGGAGAUGCCAACGUAAACCUGUUUUUCUUCCUGCUGAUGACAUUAGGAGGAUAAACCUCUUUUUGAGGUUUUGAGCAACAUGCUUGUAUUUCCUGGAGGAUAUCUGAAGGAACACCAGACCUUAGAAAGUAAUUCUACUGACACUGUUGGCUGUGCUUAUAGUAAAAACAUUGAGGAAUGUGUUUCUGGACAUAAUAGCCUUGCUCAUGCAGCUGAGCUUAUUUACUCUCCAGAUGACUGUGCAGUGUGCACAUUAGUGGAACAACCAUUUGUGAAUGGCCCCUCUGACCCAUGGGGACUUCUGGCUGUGCCUGGCCAAUGACUGGAAAAGUCAACGUUUGAUUCAACACAUCACACCAUUUGUAAUUCCUCCUCUUGAAAACUCUGAAUAAUGUCCCUUUUUUUUUCUUCUUUUUUUUCUUUUCUUCUAUGAGUCCUCCCAAACAGGCAUCUGAAGGUGUCUGAAACAUCCAUGAGGGUGCAACAAGAGACUUGCAUGCUUCUGGAGCUAUACUUGGAGCCUGAUGAGACACCCUGAAGCAUCUCAUUUGAUGCUGGAUACUUCUGAGUGGAAAGCUGAACCAAGCUCUUUCAUGAGAGCUGUGGUCAUGGCCAUAACUAUGUAGCCAACAGGUGAGAUUCAUAUACAAAUUAAGAUAGAUCAAGGCUCUCCAACUCUUGGUGGAAGGUUGGGCUAUCAAAAUACACCAGUUGACCAAUUCCCUGAGUACCUCUGUACCCUUUUUCUCUGACAAGAAAGUCACUUUGCAGAAUUCAGCUUAAUUCCGGAGCAGCUCAGGCUGUAAAAUAGUCAUAACAAUGCAUAAUCAUUGCCUUGAAUAUAUUUACAAAUGCACAAAAUAUGAGACAUUAUCUAUGGAAUAAUAGAGGUCACAGAUAUAUUCAAAAUGAUUCUUCUACCUUUCUUUGAAUGUGUACUUUUAAGAAUCAUUUUUUAUCCCAACUCCCUUAGGACUUUUUUCCCCAUAGGAGAAUAAGGAUUUUGCCCAGGUUGCUUCAAUAAAGAGCUUUUUCCAACACUUGUGUAUUGAUUCCUAUAGCACUGUAAAUUUAAUGUAUGUGCCUCAUUUUAUGAAUCAUUUAAGAGCAUAACUCUGUAGGGGAAUAAGAUUAGCCACUAUUUGGUCCAAGUUCUAAUGAGGCCAACGGAGAGUUUCUUGCCAGGCAUUCCUCCAAGACUAUUUCUGCCUUAUAGCUGGAGAGGAGAUAAAGGUUAUUGCCUUGUGGCUGCUGUGUUUGAACUAGGGUGCAGAAGGUACAAUGAUUAUUCCUAUCUUUAACCAGUAGAUAAGCUUAAAGCAGUUGGGUUGCAUCUUUAUGAAGCUUCUUUAUCUUUCUCUGUGGAAAGAAGGACAUCUUAGUGAGCUCCUUGGAAAGUGGUUUGGAGUGGAUUCCCAUCAAGUCAAGUUGAUUUACUUAUCCUUAAUUGAAGAUCUUCAAGACUAAUUGUCAGACAGUGCUUAAUGCCUGGCAGGUAUGGUUAGAUGUUGAUACAACACAAAGCCAAGUGCAAAAAAUAUCAAGGUAGAUUUUUGUUUUUUUUGUUGUUGUUGUUGUUUGAAUAAGCACUUUUAAGUGCCAUAUCUUACUGAGAACUCACUAACCAAACCAGUAAAAAGUGAGUGCCAUUGCUUCAAUGGAUGGAACCAUAAAUAGAGAGGGAAAUGUCAGUCCUAAUUUUGGUAUCUGCAUUGUCUUCUGAAAUGUGACUUUUGCUAAUUGAUCUACAGUUCUUGCUAUCUGAGGACACCAGCAGUGAAUAUUCUUUGUUAUCCAUUCAAGGAGAUGAGAAAGACUCAUGGCAUGGCAAGAUACAACACUACAAGAAGGAGUUCAUGGAGAGAUAUUGGAACUAGUGGUGAGCCCAGGCCAGGAAGCUCACAGAGAACACAGAGGACCAUGUAGAUUGGCUAAGAUAAGUUGAAUCACACUGAUGGCCAGACUAGUUCUCCAUUAACACAGUGUGUUAGUGGAGAGUGUUUCAAGAGGAGGAACUCGGACUGAGGGCUCUACAUCUCCUUAGGUGAGUUACACCAGAUACAUCUAUCCGUCUGGUGUGAUCUGUCUAUUCAGAUAGAUCUGUGGUUAUUAUUGUUCAACAAGGUUCCCUGUAGUGGCUGUAUAUGGAUCAAAACAAAGCAUGAGGUGUCUACUGAGAGCUUUUAAGCUCCCACUUGGCCAAAACACUCUUUUGAGGUGCCCGUGACAUCACUGCAAAGUUCAGCCCGUGCUCCAAUUAGUGCCAUGCGUGCAGCUGACAUCCAUGAACUGUCUCUUUUGAUUAAAAAUCAUCAAAGACAAGUGGCCUGGAAGGCAUAAAAUAGGGAAAUUACAGGAAAAGGUAAAAAAAAAAAAAAGGCACAGUAUGUAACCACGCAGCUCUGUGAUACAGUAUUGCCAUUGCUACUAAAAGACCAUGAGCUUCCCAGUGAUUUUUCAGAGCCUGGGGAGGGAUGCUUCUCAUUCUUGUCUGAACUUUUCUUGACCUGACUUCAGCUUUACUUGGUUUAUUUGUGAGAGUAACUGCUCUAGUUGCCUAUGCUAGUGUCUAUGGCUAAUUUAUUUUUCCUAACCACAAUUUUAUAUAGAUAACAGUAACAAGCAGAAAAAAAAUAGGGGGGAAAAAAAAAAGAAACAUUUAAUUUAUGGGUCAAUUGAAGAGCCUUCUCAGGAAACUACGCUUUGCUUUCUGAAAUCUUGCUGCACAGCUCGGAAAACAGCCCAGCUUGGAAAACAACUCAUAAAUGAAUCUUUGGUUUCCUGAACUGUGACCCACAGGGCUGAGUCCUCUGUCUGGGAUGCAAAUCAGAGAGUGCAUUCCAGGACUGGGUGGAGAAAGGUAACAGGUUGAUUGUUUUGGAUAGGUUUCAGGUAUCUAUACCUGUCGGAUACCCUACUGUCCAGCCCAAAAUAAAUUUUUAGGGCUCUAAGCACUUGCUAGAGUCAAUGGAGGGAGGCAGAUGCCUCUGAUGAAUCACUUAGCUGCCCCAGCUGAGGUCUGGUAGAGCUCGUGGCAAGUUGGCAGGUGGGCAGCUCUGUCUGGUCCAGAGGUGGCCUACGAUGUUUGUAGACUUUUAGAGCACCACAGUUGGAGGAAAUGAAUCCCACUUUUAAGCAACUUUUAAGCCUCUGGAGCUGGACUUCUCGCUUGUUCAUUGCUUAUCCCUGAGGGUGUCAUGAGUUGAGAGUUAGCCAGCAAAAUACAACGGGAAAGUGGGUCACUGCAGCAGCAAAGCAAGCUUUCCUCUGCACUGCUGGAAGAGAUUUGGGAUGCGGCUGCACUGUUCGCUGGGUGGAAGCCCACCAGUGAGAAGCUGAGGAUGCAGAGCUGGGGCUCUGAUCAGGAUGCCACCUCUCUCGAUGCCUGUAAGCGUCUGGUGGCACUGCAUGAAUUUACCAGCACAGCAGAUGAGGAAAUAGUUUUAACACAGUUACUGAUGUCAAAGCACUUGACUGAAGCGCCGAAGUGCUUUGCGAGGCCUUGGCUCUGCAGUGAAUCAGCCCAGUGCUCAAAAAACCACCUGCCCUCCCUUGAGAAAAAGCACAGUCGAUAUCCCAUUGCCUGUGAAAGCUGCCCUGUGGAUAAUCUCAUUUGCAUCCCUGCCCUGCUUCUUCAUAAACGGCACUUCGGAGCUCCCCUGGCCUUGUGAGGGAUGCAGACAGCAGUUGGGCUGAAGGAGCAAUAACCAUUUCCGCUGCUUAAAUGGAAGCAAAGAGGAUUUCCACACUCAGCAAUAAAAGCACAAUUGCCUCAGCUCCAGGUUUGCCUGCAAGUGAUGGGCAAAGCUGCAGCUGCCCCGAAAUUUUAUCAGCGGUGCAGAAAUAGCCUUUAUAAUGUGCUCAGCAGUGGUGGGGGAGAAAUGAAUGGACCAAUCUGAGCUUGUGGGGGUCCUUGUGCAAAGCAAGGUAUGUCAAAACUGGGGGAGCUGGGAUUUCGGGGUGCUGGUGUUACUCUGUAAUCCUCCCAUGUGUGCAGCAGGGUUGGAGGGAUGUGCUCUACCCUAAAAGAAGGAUCCGGCACAAAAGGUAUUCUGCUCCUUGGGUCGGUGUGACUCAGUCUUGCUCAGCAUGAGGCAAAUGGCCCACCAGUUUGCCCAUGCCUUCCUCCAGGAGUGCACAACUUUUUCCUUAUAUCCAACUUAAAUCUACUUUCUUUGAACUUGAAGCCAUUUCUCCUUGUUCUAUUGCCACAGACCCUGCUGAAGAGUCUGCCCCCUUCUUUCCAGUGGCUCCCCAUUAGAUAUUGAAAUGCCACUCUCAGGUCACCUCAGAGCCUCCUCCUCUCCAGGCUGUGCAGACCCAGCUCUCAUUCUGUCCUCACAGGGAGAUGUUCCAUCCUUUGGAUCAUUUUUGUGGCCCUCCUCUGGACAUUCUCCAACAGAUCCACGUCUCUAUACAUCUUCAGCUGCAUUUUCAAAUGUGACACUGGAAGAAAUUUUUACCAAAUAGAUGCAGCAGAUAGAUGCACCAGCUUCAGAGCAUGCUGCAGGGACAAGGCUGACCUCAAGCAUCUGCGCUCAGGGGGAUUCACCAAGGUGAUCUCCCAGCAGGUGCAAGGCAUUUCUCCAACACAAAGGAAGUCUGAUGCUUUGUUCUGAGUAAUAAAGACCUGAAAAGACAGCACUACUUAACUGGGCACACAGCAAGGAUGAAACACAUCAUGCAGAGGCAGAUGUGACACCCUUGGGAAAGCAGGAGAGGAGGAUGCAAAGCUGAAAUCUGGAUCUGCUGAUUUGGAAACUGCACUGCAAUGGAUGAUGACCCAUGUCAUUAAAUAUAUUCCAGAAGGAUAUUACAGUGUCCAACUCUACAGUUGCAACAGUUAUGCAUGUGCAAAAGUAUACACACCUACAAUACAGAAAAAAAUUAACACCAUACAGCAAAAGUGCCAUCAUUUUGUAAUAGUGUGGCUAUUACCACCACGUGUGAGUCUCACCUCCAAAAGACAUUCAGCCACCUAGAUCGUGUUGUGUUGUGGCCUUCACUGCAGCGGUUUUGGGGAUCACACGUGGUACUCUGUGAUCUGGUUGGUACUGAGUCUUCUGGCACAGAUGUUCUCAAAGAAGGACCAAUGGACACAGCAUGCCUGUGUAGCCCGACCUUCCCCAGGUGAACUGUUUGGUUUCUUGAAGAACUGGGAAAUGAAGGCAUUGGAGUACAGAGCAGUGUCAACCACAGAGAAGAACCUCCUCUGAAGCAAGGAGAUGAACCAAGUACAAAGGAAAAAAAAUAGCCAUUUCAUUGCAUUUGUACAGAGUCAGAACAAAAUAAAUAACAUCAGGCAAAAGGCCAUGAAACAAGGUGGAGAUUUUACCUGUGCCGAGCAAGCAGGCCUGUUCCAAAUACAUCACGAGCACCUAGGUACAUAAAAAUCCACAGAAAUGUGGCUUAACAGUGACUCCCUGUUCGUAGCCAGUUUUCAUCACUCUUUUCUGUCAAAGCAUAUUUACAGGAGGGCAGAACAGGAGGGGGCUUACAGUCUGAAUGAGUUGUCAGAGUCACCGAAGAGUCUGUUGGCACCAGCUACUGAACAAGAACAGCCUGAGCUGCUUUUGAAACAGAGUAUGAAAAAUGCGCUCUGGAAUUCAAAAGUUUUUUUUUUUUUUUUUUUUUUUUUUAGCUUAGUUUAUUAUCCACAGAGUAUAAAAAACGUGUGACUUUUUGCUUUUUAAAUGUGCUCUUCAGAUUUCCUCUACGUACAAGUUUACAACAUCCACAAAACUGGGGUAUAAACCGCCAAGUGCUCUACUGACGCCAAUCUGGGAGUCCUAAAGGCCUGGCCCUCAGAACAUGACAGACAUUAAUUUCCCUUAGAGACCUGCUAAACAGCUUCCAGUCCCAAUGACUAUCUUAUCCCCGUGAUUCUGCAGUGUGCUAGAAAGAAGUAGGGUUUUGAACCCAGGGCCCUUCAACACAAUGCAACACCAUGCAGAGGAGCAAAGACAGAGGACUUCCAGAGAAAAGGAGGUGGAAGAAAUGAUCUGUUGGCCCAGGAAAGCCAAGUUUUGUAACUUUAUAGAUAUCUAGAGGAAAUAACAACAUCAGUUGUAACUGUACUUCAUCACACCAGUGUAUGAAUAUUGGGUUUGGGAACAGGGUAAAAGCUUAUCGACUGAAAGAAAACAGAUUGAAUUCUAUGCUGCUCUGGAUUUUGGGAUGUCUGACACCAAUUACCAGAUUGGGACUUAAUUCUUUUCCUUGUAACACCAGUUAGUUACAACUGCACCAGAGUCACUCCAGACUGAUAUACAUAUAUGUGAGGCUUGGUCUCCUGCUCCACUAGAGUCAUCUACAAUUGAGAAGCAUUAUGGUCCCAUCUACCAUAAAUACUGGUAUGUGAAAAGUGCAAAGUUGCAUGGAGAGUCAUGGAGCCCUGGACUGUGGUCCUUAUUGCCAAGAAUUUGGCACUUUCACCAUUGGUGCAGAGACAGCUGUGUCCAGUCCAACCCCUUCUUCAGCCCAAUGAGCUAUCUGAAGGCUGAGAAGCCAGGGCAUGGCAAAGGAAGGUGUUUUACACAGGCAGAGGGUUUAGACCCUUCACCUUGCAGGGAAGAUGGGCUGAUGUCAGGAUCUAUGCUUCUCAUACCACGUGUUCCCAAUGACCUUUAACCAAACCAAGUGCUACCAUGAACUUGUGUGCAGACAGAAUGAAAUGUGCUUCAUAAUGACACAUGUUGAUACUCCCAGGUCUGAGAGACCCCCUUCUAGCCCAAAAGUAUAUCAUUCCUUCAAAAACCCUAUGGGUUUUUUUUGUUUGUUUGUUUGUUUGUUUGUUUGUUUGUUUUUUGCCUUGUUUAAACACCAUGCUGAUGGAAAAAGAAAUGGAGAUGGUGAUCACAAAGAAACCAUUCAGCCCCUGCAAUGGAGCCAAGAAAUGCCCACUCCUCAGCUUUCUUUGUAACUUCAUUUUGCUUUCUACAAACCAACUGGCAACUGCCCAUUGAUUAGCCAAAAAUAAAACCCACCGCAAUCCAACCCAACCAAAUAAAUAAACAUCAGAUAUUUCAUCUUCUGAGCUUGUUUGGAAUCCCUUUUUUCAUUCCAAAACUGCAACAAUGCUGCUGCUGCAUAUAGUCCUGUUUUAAAAAAACAGUUUCAAAUUAAUGCCCUAAAAUUCUGUCAUAGCCUAGAAUUCCUUUACUGCUCUUUUUCAAGCCCUAAAUACGGUUAUAUUCUCAUUUCACACUGCUUAUCAGAGGGCCACAGAGCCAUACAGAUCUCAGCUGGAUAGAAAUAUCUACAGCCUAAUGUUAGCAUUGCACCUUGCACCUCCAGACUUUGAGAAAGUCAUUUAAUUUUUAUAUUUUAAUUAAAGGGAGUAAGCAGUUCCUGGCUGAAGGUAAAGGAAUUAUUCUAAAGUCAAAUUCCAGUUUCAAGCUUGUGUAAAUCAGGAGUCACUGUCAUGAACUGAGGGAUGCAAGAGGGGUGAGAAUUUGGUGUCAUUUCUUUAAAUAGUUCUGGGAUCCAAACUCAUUAUCCUCAGACAUGUCUAAGAAGCAUAGAGCAUCCAGGAAUGACUCUUAAUCAUCUUUUCCACUAAAAUAACUCACUUGCAUUCACUGGAGUUGCUCCUGUCCCACUGGUCAGGCUCGUGCUUGGUGAGAAGCAGCAACAGCUCUGAGCACUGGGUCAUUUAUUCAGCAUUGCUUUGGGACAGAAUGAUUUGGGUAGUCAUUUGGGACUGCAGUGAGGUCCUUGAACUCCAUUUUACUGAUGAGUUGGAUGAAAAUCACAUUCAGAGUAGAGGAGGCCAUGCUACCCGGCCAAAUUCCUGCACUAAGUACCUAAACAAGGGCCUGAUCCAAAAGCCAGAAAGGGCAGAGAAAUUCUUUCAUUCACUUGAUUGCUCAGAUCCCCAGAGAGAAAAGCUCUGAUUUCAUCACUGACUCCUCUCUUCUUCCAAAAUUUGAAGCCAACACAGCUGGGCUGGCAG